GACGAACGCUGGCAGCGUGCUUAACACAUGCAAGUCGAACGGUAAGGCCCUUCGGGGUACACGAGUGGCGAACGGGUGAGUAACACGUGGGUGAUCUGCCCUGCACUUCGGGAUAAGCCUGGGAAACUGGGUCUAAUGCCGGAUAGGACCACUGCCUGCAUGGGUGGUGGCGGAGAGCUUUUGCGGUGUGGGAUGGGCCCGCGGCCUAUCAGCUUGUGGGUGGGGUGAUGGCCUACCAAGGCGACGGCGGGUAGCCGGCCUGAGAGGGUGACCGGCCACAGUGGGGCUGAGAUACGGGCCAGACUCCGACGGGAGGCAGGAGUGGGGAAGAUUGCACAAGGGGCGCAAGCCUGAUGCAGCGUCGCCGCGUGAGGGAUGACUGCCGUCGGGUUGUAAACCUCUUUCAGCACCGGCGAAGCGCAAGUGACGGUAGGUGCAGAAGAAGGACCGGCCAACUACGUGCCAGCCGCCGCAGUAA
rnacentral:rRNA from 1 species